rnacentral:rRNA from 1 species
CACGAACGCUGGCGGCAGGCUUAACACAUGCAAGUCGAGCGCCCCGCAAGGGGAGCGGCAGACGGGUGAGUAACGCGUGGGAAUCUACCCAUCUCUACGGAAUAACGCAUGGAAACGUGUGCUAAUACCGUAUACGUCCUUCGGGAGAAAGAUUUAUCGGAGAUGGAUGAGCCCACGUUGGAUUAGCUAGUUGGUGGGGUAAAGGCCUACCAAGGCGACGAUCCAUAGCUGGUCGGAGAGGAUGAUCAGACACACUGGGACUGAGACACGGCCCAGACUCCUACGGGAGGCAGCAGUGGGGAAUAUUGGACAAUGGGCGCAAGCCUGAUCCAGCCAUGCCGCGUGAGUGAUGAAGGCCCUAGGGUUGUAAAGCUCUUUCACCGGUGAAGAUAAUGACGGUAACCGGAGAAGAAGCCCCGGCUAACUUCGUGCCAGCCGCCGCGGUAAUAC